rnacentral:misc_RNA from 1 species
CAUCGAUAUGAUUAGGUGGAAGCAAAUUAAGAGCUUUUUCAUACUUCAACAUAGACCCUUCAUGAUCAUGCUUCUGAAAAAGCUUGUUCCCUUCUUCCUUCAAUUCUUGAGACAUAGUAAUGAAUACAGCAGUAUCUUCAUCAAAUGCUUUGGAAGUGCCAUGUUUGACAUUUGCAGAUAUGAGUUGGGUUUUCUUCUUCCCAGUAGGCUUCCCCAUAGCAACAAAUCAAUAAGAAAGCAAAAAAGAUGUUGAAAAAGCAGUGAAGGCUUAUAUGAUUAAGCGGCGG